rnacentral:rRNA from 1 species
ACUCCUACGGGAGGCAGCAGUGAGGAAUCUUGCGCAAUGGGGGAAACCCUGACGCAGCCACGCCGCGUGCCGGAAGACGGCCCUAUGGGUUGUAAACGGCUUUUGUUUGGGAAGAAAGUACAGGUUUCGACCAGUAUUGACGGUACCAUUUGAAUCAGCACCGGCUAACUCCGUGCCAGCAGCCGCGGUAAUACGGAGGGUGCAAGCGUUGUCCGGAAUCAUUGGGUGUAAAGGGUGCGUAGGCUGGCUCUUAAGUCUGAGGUGAAAUCUUGCCGCUUAACGGUAAAAUUGCCUUGGAUACUGGGAGUCUUGAAUCUGACAGAGGUCGGUGGAAUUCGUAGUGUAGCGGUGAAAUGCAUAGAUAUUACGAAGAACACCAGUGGCGAAGGCGGCCGGCUGGGUCAGUAUUGACGCUGAGGCACGAGAGCGUGGGGAGCGAACAGGAUUAGAAACCCCAGUAGUCC